GUCUUUUAAUUGAAGUCUGGAAUGAAUGGUUUGAUGAAAAAUUUACUUUCUUUAUUUUAAAAAAAUAAUUUAAUUUUUUAAUUAAAAAGUUAAGAUUUUAAUAAAGGACGAGAAGACCCUAUAGAACUUUAUUUUGAUAAAAAAGAUAGUAUUUUGAUAAUGAUUUAUUGUCUUUUUUUAGGAAUUUUGUUGGGGUGAUGGAAAAAAAUAUUUAACUUUUUUUUAUUUUAUCAUUAAUGUAUGAUUUUUUUGAUCCUUUUUUAUGGAUAAUAAGAUUAAGUUACCUUAGGGAUAACAGCGUUAUUAUUUUAGAAAGUUCAUAUUGAUAAAAUAGUUUGCGACCUCGAUGUUGGAUUAAAAUAAGUUUCAGGAGCAGAAUAUUGAAAUCUAGGUCUGUUCGACCUUUAAAUUUUUACA
rnacentral:rRNA from 2 species